GAAACUUCACACAUGAAGACAGCAUUUUGGUCCUCCUGGAUGUAAAGAUCCUCCAGGUCCUGCACUAACUCCAACUUGUGCUCUGUGAGGUGUGUAGGGAGAUUUAGAUCAGUAAUAAUAGAGUCCAGUCACAAGGUGCCAGAGUCAGCCAGGGAGCACUGCAUGAUUUGACAGAACCGCUUUCGGCCCAUGGAGUAGAUCCGAUAGUUCUUUCCAGGCUUCAGCUCCGUCCCGUUCUGGUUUGCAGAAGCAAAUGGUUACAGCAUCAUCAGCAGAGACAUGGCACAUCAGCACCACGGGGUCCAGCUCCAUGCUGCUCUUAUGGUGUUCCUCCUCUGGGAUGGGGGUAAACUUUACAGGAGGGCCUAAAUAACAGCAAGAGAGAGGAAUGCAUGUCAGCUACAACACCAGUUGACUUCCUCACCAAGAUGGACGGCUUUGGGAAACUCCACAUGCCCACUUCGCCCAUACUUGUUGAUGCAACAGACACGGAAACGGUAGUUGCCUUCACACGGCACGCUGUCCCCAGUGACCUCGGCUGU